UGGGGAAUAUUGCACAAUGGGGGAAACCCUGAUGCAGCGACGCCGCGUGGGUGAGGAAGUAUUUCGGUAUGUAAAGCCCUAUCAGCAGGGAAGAAGAUGACAGUACCUGACUAAGAAGCCCCGGCUAACUACGUGCCAGCAGCCGCGGUAAUACGUAGGGGGCAAGCGUUAUCCGGAUUUACUGGGUGUAAAGGGAGCGCAGGUGGCAAGGCAAGCCAGAAGUGAAAACCCGGGGCUUAACCCCGCGGAUUGCUUUUGGAACUGUCUGGCUGGAGUGCAGGAGGGGCAGGCGGAAUUCCUGGU
rnacentral:rRNA from 1 species